AGUGAACGCUGGCGGUAGGCCUAACACAUGCAAGUCGAACGGCAGCACAGUAAGAGCUUGCUCUUACGGGUGGCGAGUGGCGGACGGGUGAGGAAUACAUCGGAAUCUACUUUUUCGUGGGGGACAACGUAGGGAAACUUACGCUAAUACCGCAUACGACCUACGGGUGAAAGCAGGGGAUCUUCGGACCUUGCGCGAUUGAAUGAGCCGAUGUCGGAUUAGCUAGUUGGCGGGGUAAAGGCCCACCAAGGCGACGAUCCGUAGCUGGUCUGAGAGGAUGAGCAGCCACACUGGAACUGAGACACGGUCCAGACUCCUACGGGAGGCAGCAGUGGGGAAUAUUGGACAAAGGGCGCAAGCCUGAUCCAGCCAUACCGCGUGGGUGAAGAAGGCCUUCGGGUUGUAAAGCCCUUUUGUUGGGAAAGAAAAGCAGCAGGUUAAUACCCCGCUGUUCUGACGGUACCCAAAGAAUAAGCACCGGCUAACUUCGUG
rnacentral:rRNA from 1 species